rnacentral:rRNA from 1 species
AAAUUGAAGAGUUUGAUCAUGGCUCAGAUUGAACGCUGGCGGCAGGCCUAACACAUGCAAGUCGAACGGUAACAGAAAGCAGCUUGCUGCUUUGCUGACGAGUGGCGGACGGGUGAGUAAUGUCUGGGAAACUGCCUGAUGGAGGGGGAUAACUACUGGAAACGGUAGCUAAUACCGCAUAACGUCGCAAGACCAAAGAGGGGGACCUUCGGGCCUCUUGCCAUCGGAUGUGCCCAGAUGGGAUUAGCUUGUUGGUGGGGUAACGGCUCACCAAGGCGACGAUCCCUAGCUGGUCUGAGAGGAUGACCAGCCACACUGGAACUGAGACACGGUCCAGACUCCUACGGGAGGCAGCAGUGGGGAAUAUUGCACAAUGGGCGCAAGCCUGAUGCAGCCAUGCCGCGUGUAUGAAGAAGGCCUUCGGGUUGUAAAGUACUUUCAGCGGGGAGGAAGGGAGUAAAGUUAAUACCUUUGCUCAUUGACGUUACCCGCAGAAGAAGCACCGGCUAACUCCGUGCCAGCAGCCGCGGUAAUACGGAGGGUGCAAGCGUUAAUCGGAAUUACUGGGCGUAAAGCGCACGCAGGCGGUUUGUUAAGUCAGAUGUGAAAUCCCCGGGCUCAACCUGGGAACUGCAUCUGAUACUGGCAAGCUUGAGUCUCGUAGAGGGGGGUAGAAUUCCAGGUGUAGCGGUGAAAUGCGUAGAGAUCUGGAGGAAUACCGGUGGCGAAGGCGGCCCCCUGGACGAAGACUGACGCUCAGGUGCGAAAGCGUGGGGAGCAAACAGGAUUAGAUACCCUGGUAGUCCACGCCGUAAACGAUGUCGACUUGGAGGUUGUGCCCUUGAGGCGUGGCUUCCGGAGCUAACGCGUUAAGUCGACCGCCUGGGGAGUACGGCCGCAAGGUUAAAACUCAAAUGAAUUGACGGGGCCCGCACAAGCGGUGGAGCAUGUGGUUUAAUUCGAUGCAACGCGAAGAACCUUACCUACUCUCUUGACAUCCACGGAAGUUUUCAGAGAUGAGAAUGUGCCUUCGGGAACCGUGAGACAGGUGCUGCAUGGCUGUCGUCAGCUCGUGUUGUGAAAUGUUGGGUUAAGUCCCGCAACGAGCGCAACCCUUAUCCUUUGUUGCCAGCGGUCCGGCCGGGAACUCAAAGGAGACUGCCAGUGAUAAACUGGAGGAAGGUGGGGAUGACGUCAAGUCAUCAUGGCCCUUACGACCAGGGCUACACACGUGCUACAAUGGCGCAUACAAAGAGAAGCGACCUCGCGAGAGCAAGCGGACCUCAUAAAGUGCGUCGUAGUCCGGAUUGAGUCUGCAACUCGACUCCAUGAAGUCGGAAUCGCUAGUAAUCGUGGAUCAGAAUGCCACGGUGAAUACGUUCCCGGGCCUUGUACACACCGCCCGUCACACCAUGGGAGUGGGUUGCAAAAGAAGUAGGUAGCUUAACCUUCGGGAGGGCGCUUACCACUUUGUGAUUCAUGACUGGGGUGAAGUCGUAACAAGGUAACCGUAGGGGAACCUGCGGUUGGAUCACCUCCUUA